rnacentral:misc_RNA from 1 species
AAGGAGUCUAACAUGUCUGCGAGUAUUUGGGUGUCAAACCCGAGCGCGCAAUGAAAGUGAAUGCAGGUGCGAUCCGCAAGCUGCACCUUCGACCGAUCUGGAUCUUUAGUGAUGGAUUUGAGUAAGAGCAUAUAUGUUGGGACCCGAAAGAUGGUGAACUAUGCCUGAAUAGGGCGAAGCCAGAGGAAACUCUGGUGAGGCUCGUAGCGAUUCUGACGUGCAAAUCGAUCGUCAAAUUUGGGUAUAGGGGCGAAAGACUAAUCGAACCAUCUAGUAGCUGGUUCCUGC